GAUGAAGAACGCAGCGAAAUGCGAUACUUGGUGUGAAUUGCAGAAUCCCGUGAACCAUCGAGUCUUUGAACGCAAGUUGCGCCCGAAGCCACUAGGCCGAGGGCACGCCUGCCUGGGCGUCACACGUCGUUGCCCCCCACCAUCUACUCCUUCGGGAUUGCGGGGGGCGGAUGAUGGCCUCCCGUGCGCCUAGCCGCGCGGUUGGCAUAAAUACCAAGUCCUCGGCGACGCACGCCACGACAAUCGGUGGUUGCGAAACCUCGGUUGCCCGUCGUGUGCGUUCGUCGCGCAUCGAGGGCUCGAAAAAAUGCUCGGCUCCGGCUCGGCUUUCAACGCGACCCCAGGUCAGGCGGGGUUACCCGCUGAAUUUAAGCAUAUCAUAAGCGGAGGA
rnacentral:misc_RNA from 1 species